GAUGAACGCUGGCGGCGUGCCUAAUACAUGCAAGUCGAACGCGAGUGGAGGGAGCUUGCUCCCUCUGAUCGAGUGGCGGACGGGUGAGUAACACGUAGGCAACCUGCCCAUCAGCCGGGGAUAACCGCGGGAAACCGUGGCUAAUACCGGAUAAUCCUCUCCACCGCGGGGUGGGGAGUUGCAAGACGGUUUCGGCUGUCGCUGAUGGAUGGGCCUGCGGCGCAUUAGCUGGUUGGCGGGGUAACGGCCCACCAAGGCAACGAUGCGUAGCCGACCUGAGAGGGUGAGCGGCCAGACUGGGACUGAGACACGGCCCAGACUCCUACGGGAGGCAGCAGUAGGGAAUCUAACGCAAUGGACGCAAGUCUGACGGAGCAACGCCGCGUGAGUGAAGAAGGGUUUCGGCUCGUAAAACUCUGUUGUUAAGGAAGAACGCCAGGUAGAGUAACUGCUGCCUGUGUGACGGUACUUAACCAGAAAGCCACGGCUAACUACGUGCCAGCCGCCGCUGUAA
rnacentral:rRNA from 1 species